rnacentral:rRNA from 1 species
AAGGGCACCACAAGAACGCGUGGAGCAUGUGGCUUAAUUUGACCCAACGCGGGAAAUCUUACCGGGUCCGGACACACUGAGGAUUGACAGGCAGUUUUGAUAAGUAAAUAUUUUAUUAUAUUUGCUUAUCUCAUGAAAGAUGCUAGUCCUUUCAUGAUUAUGUGAUAGGUGGUGCAUGGCCGUUCUUAGUUCGUGGAGUGAUCUGUCUGCUUAAUUGCGUUUCAUUAAGAGCCUAUUCAUACGUAUGUCUGCAGGCACUUUGACCCCACUUUUUCAUUAAGGUGCGCGUUGUCUUAGUUUGCUUUGCGCAUACAUUUAGGCUCUGAAAGCAACGAACGUGACCG